GUUUGGAAGGACAUAUGCCACGGCAAUCAUGUGAUGAAAAUUAAAGUGAAAGUUUUGGGCCCAGAGCCGAAAAAAAAUCUGUGUAUGCGCAUGAGGCUGUUGAUGUGCAAAUGUGAGUCAUAUUGAGAAGGUCUGAAUAGGGAGGUGUGACGUAAAGAGGGGACACAAGGCAGGUGCUUAUCUCUCGGCAGUCAAAGGCACUGGAUGUCAUAUCAUGGGAACUACCUUCCAAAGAAACAGCUUUAGUGUUUCCGUUCAGCACACAAGGGAGGAGAGAAAUAUAAGUUUUGGAAACGAACAAAAAAAGCCCUCAAUUUUGUGAGAUUCCUUGAAAGAUUGUGAAAAGUCCAUUUUACGUGGCCGUGUGCUCAUACCAAGUCUAAGGUAAACAAGUUAAAAAUAUCAAAUGUAUAUUGAUAUAUGUGAUU
rnacentral:lncRNA from 1 species